CCUACGGGUGGCAGCAGUGAGGAAUAUUGGUCAAUGGGCGCGAGCCUGAACCAGCGAAGUCGCGUGAGGGAAGACGGUCCUAUGGAUUGUAAACCUCUUUAGUCGGGGAGCAAAAGACGACACGCGAGGUGUUCCGAGCGUACCCGAAGAUAUAGGAUCGGCUAACCCCGUGCCAGCAGCGGCGGUAAUACGGAGGAUGCGAGCGUUAUCUGGAUUUAUUGGGUUUAAGGGGUGCGCAGGCGGAAGGUCAAGUCAGCGGUAAAAUUGAGGGGCUCAACCUCUGCGCGCCUUUGAUACUGGUUAACUUGAGUGAGUGAGAGGUAAGCGGAAUGCGUGGUGUAGCGGUGAAAUGCAUAGAUAUCACGCAGAACACCGAUGGCGAAGGCAGCUUACCGGGGCUCAACUGACGCUGAGGCACGAAAGUGUGGGUAUCGAACAGGAUUAGAUACCCCUGUAGUC
rnacentral:rRNA from 1 species